UGACAGCCUGCGGGCGGACCACCGCUCCUCCGGUGCAGCGACUCGGGCGGCGCGGGGAUUCUGUCGCCAUUGCUUCUUCUGCAGGAUUAUGAAAACUACUGGGGGAAGGAAACUCAACUGACUCAACCUGUAAGGCACCACACCUUCACAGCACUCUUAAAAAUACAGACAGAUAGAGAUAUUGGUAUCAAUACACCUCCUGCAAAGUAUGUGAAUGC